UGGAUUUCAACGUAAUGGAAGUGAGUUCUCCACUUUCUUCCAGCAAAUAAACACUAUAUACCUGUGGUCCCAAGCCUACUUGUGGGGCUGAGGUGGAAGGAUCUCUUGCGCCAAGGAAGUUGAAGCUGCAGUGAGUCAUGAUCAUGCUGAGAGGUGACAGCCUGCUGGCAGCCCUGGCAGCCCUCUAUCGCUAUCGGUGCCUCCUCGACCUCGGUGCCCAUUCUGGCCGUGCUUGAGGAGCCCUUCAGCCCGCCGCUGCACCGUGGGAGCCCUUCUCUGGAUUGGCCGAGGCCGGAGCCGGCUCCCUCCGCUUGCGGGGAGGUGUGGAGGGAGAGGCACGGGCCGGGAAACGGGGCUGCGGGCGGCGCUUGCGGGCCAGCGCGAGUUCCGGGUGGGCGUGUGCUUGGCGGGCCCUGCACUCA
rnacentral:lncRNA from 10 species